rnacentral:rRNA from 1 species
AGUGAACGCUGGCGGUAGACCUAACACAUGCAAGUCGAACGGCAGCACAGUAAGAGCUUGCUCUUACGGGUGGCGAGUGGCGGACGGGUGAGGAAUACAUCGGAAUCUACUUUUUCGUGGGGGAUAACGUAGGGAAACUUACGCUAAUACCGCAUACGACCUACGGGUGAAAGCAGGGGAUCUUCGGACCUUGCGCGAUUGAAUGAGCCGAUGUCGGAUUAGCUAGUUGGCGGGGUAAAGGCCCACCAAGGCGACGAUCCGUAGCUGGUCUGAGAGGAUGAUCAGCCACACUGGAACAGAGACACGGGCCAGACUCCUACGGGAGGCAGCAGUGGGGAAUAUUGGACAAUGGGCGCAAGCCUGAUCCAGCCAUACCGCGUGGGUGAAGAAGGCCUUCGGGUUGUAAAGCCCUUUUGUUGGGAAAGAAAAGCAGCAGGUUAAUACCCCGCUGUUCUGACGGUACCCAAAGAAUAAGCACCGGCUAACUUCGUG